AUCUGGGCGACGAAAUUCAGGAUGGCCGGGCGCGCGCACGCGUGUCGGGCCGUUUGAUAUUUUCGUCGCCGCGUCAGACGUCGCGACCUGUUCGUCGUCGGUCCCUGCUCGGAGGAAUCUCGCGAACGAGCUUGUUGUGGGCGCGUUUCGGCGCGCCAUACGGCAAAGUCGCGGUUCUCUGGCUGACGACGGACAGUAAGCGCAACGGUGUCCGGCCGCCGUGUCUCGCACUCGGCGUCGGUACCGGUCGGCGACGAUUUCUUCGGGCCUCUUUCCGACCCGUCUUGAAACACGGACCAAGGAGUCUAACAUGCGCGCGAGUCGCGGGGUGUCGAGCGCGCCACGGUGCGCUCGUUACAUCGCGAAACCCGUUAUGUUGUAGAGGCGUAAUGAAAGUGAAGAGGGAAGAUGGUGUUCCGAGUACACGUUCCGUGAUCUCGUAUCGCGGCCGGACGCCCGCAUUCCCGGGGCGUCUCAAUGACUCGUCGCGGACGCGGACGGUUGUCUCUCGCGGGAGGCGGCCGUCGGUCUGCGACGGAUCGA
rnacentral:rRNA from 1 species